rnacentral:rRNA from 1 species
UACGUAGGGCGCAAGCGUUGUCCGGAAUUAUUGGGCGUAAAGAGCUCGUAGGCAGCUUGUCACGUCAAAUGUGAAAGACCGGAACUUAACCCCGGUUCUGCAUUCGAUACGGGCUGGCUAGAGUGUGGUAGGGGAGAUCGGAAUUCCUGGUGUAGCGGUGAAAUGCGCAGAUAUCAGGAGGAACACCGGUGGCGAAGGCGGUUACCUGGAGCUUUGCUGACGCUGAUGCGCGAAAGCGUGGGGAGCGAUCCGG